rnacentral:tRNA from 1 species
UCUGGCAUAGCUCAGUGGAUAGAGCGCGCCUCCUAUAAAGGCAUGGUCGUGGGUUCGAAUCCCACUGCCCCUG